rnacentral:lncRNA from 1 species
GGGCACCGUCAGUCUUCAGCAGCAAGGCCAAUGAGAUCCAAGUAGGCCAGCUCAGGAAGGGAUGGGGGCGGUCCUCGCAGGGGCUGCUCACAGUCCGACUUCCAGUGGGGUCCUCCGCAGAGGGGGCAUGGCCUGGUGGGCUUACCUGGCUUUGGGCAUUGUCUGGACCAGUGGCCUUCAUUGCCGCACUUGAAACAGGCACCAGGUGGAGGUGGAGUGUUAGGAGGCUUCCGUGCGGAGCUGCCGCCCCGUGGGCCUGCAGGGCUCCUGAUGGCGGAGGCAAGCAUUUGAAACUCUGCCGGUUUUUGCCUUUUACUUUUCUCAUCACGAUUGUUAAAGACUUUGAUGGCUAAAUUAAGAAGGUCUCUUUGUGGGGUUUGAGGGCCGUCAUCAAGCUUCUGAAGCUUGCGCCGAAUAUCGGGGUGGAUUGGGAGAUGAACCGAAGGUUUAAGCUAGUGUUUCCUGCUGAGGGUUUGAAGGGAGAAGGGGGGUUGUGUUAACAGGCAGUGGAGGAUAGAUAGGGGCGUAAGGUGGCGGGAUGGGUUUACAAGCCUCAGGAGAGGGCAGUUGUGGACGAGAAUACGUGCAAGCAAUACUAGAAUUGUCCUGAGGGGGGAUGGUGUAGGAAAAGAAGUGGAUACAGCUGACUGGGAAGAUGGCGGCUGGGAAGAUGGCAACUGAGAAGACAAUGAGGAGGCUUUCGGGGUUAAAGAAGGCAGUUGAGAGGAAAAGGGUCUUGCUGUGCCACUCAGGCUAGAGUACACUGGUGUGAUCUCAGCUCACUGCAGCCUUGACCUCUGGGUUCAAGUGAUCCUCCCAUCUUGGCCUCCCAAUGUGCUGGAAUUACAGGCAGGAACCACUGAUUUACAAUCUUCUAAUAAGAGUCUUUAUCUUAAAGAUAUUUGUUUCCUGUGUUUGAGAAUUAAAAUGCUGGCUUUUUGCUGAAUAAAAACAAGUUGGCAAUAAUAGUUAAAUUGACAUGGUA